rnacentral:rRNA from 1 species
UACGGGGGGGGCAAGCGUUGUUCGGAAUUACUGGGCGUAAAGGCUCGUAGGCGGCCAACUAAGUCAGACGUGAAAUCCCCAGGCUCAACCUGGGAACUGCGUCUGAUACUGGAUGGCUUGAAUCCGGGAGAGGGAUGCAGAAUUCCAGGUGUAGCGGUGGAAUGCGUAGAGAUCCGGAAGAACACCAGUGGCGAAGGCGGUCUGCUGGGCAGUAGCUGACACUGAUGCGCGACAGCGUGGGGAGCAAACAGG